UACGGAGGGUGCAAGCGUUAUCCGGAUUCACUGGGCUUAAAGGGUGCGUAGGUGGGUCUGUAAGUCAGUGGUGAAAUCUCCGUGCUUAACAUGGAAACUGCCAUUGAUACUAUAGGUCUUGAAUUUUCUGGAGGUCAGCGGAAUAUGUCAUGUAGCGGUGAAAUGCUUAGAUAUGACAUAGAACACCAAUUGCGAAGGCAGCUGGCUACAGGGAUAUUGACACUGAGGCACGAAAGCGUGGGGAGCAAACAGG
rnacentral:rRNA from 1 species